rnacentral:rRNA from 1 species
GGGACACGUGGUAUCCUGUCUGAAUAUGGGGGGACCAUCCUCCAAGGCUAAAUACUCCUGACUGACCGAUAGUGAACCAGUACCGUGAGGGAAAGGCGAAAAGAACCCCGGCGAGGGGAGUGAAAAAGAACCUGAAACCGUGUACGUACAAGCAGUGGGAGCACGCUUAGGCGUGUGACUGCGUACCUUUUGUAUAAUGGGUCAGCGACUUAUAUUCUGUAGCAAGGUUAACCGAAUAGGGGAGCCGAAGGGAAACCGAGUCUUAACUGGGCGUUAAGUUGCAGGGUAUAGACCCGAAACCCGGUGAUCUAGCCAUGGGCAGGUUGAAGGUUGGGUAACACUAACUGGAGGACCGAACCGACUAAUGUUGAAAAAUUAGCGGAUGACUUGUGGCUGGGGGUGAAAGGCCAAUCAAACCGGGAGAUAGCUGGUUCUCCCCGAAAGCUAUUUAGGUAGCGCCUCGUGAAUUCAUCUCCGGGGGUAGAGCACUGUUUCGGCAAGGGGGUCAUCCCGACUUACCAACCCGAUGCAAACUGCGAAUACCGGAGAAUGUUAUCACGGGAGACACACGGCGGGUGCUAACGUCCGUCGUGAAGAGGGAAACAACCCAGACCGCCAGCUAAGGUCCCAAAGUCAUGGUUAAGUGGGAAACGAUGUGGGAAGGCCCAGACAGCCAGGAUGUUGGCUUAGAAGCAGCCAUCAUUUAAAGAAAGCGUAAUAGCUCACUGGUCGAGUCGGCCUGCGCGGAAGAUGUAACGGGGCUAAACCAUGCACCGAAGCUGCGGCAGCGACGCUGAUGCGUUGUUGGGUAGGGGAGCGUUCUGUAAGCCUGCGAAGGUGUGCUGUGAGGCAUGCUGGAGGUAUCAGAAGUGCGAAUGCUGACAUAAGUAACGAUAAAGCGGGUGAAAAGCCCGCUCGCCGGAAGACCAAGGGUUCCUGUCCAACGUUAAUCGGGGCAGGGUGAGUCGACCCCUAAGGCGAGGCCGAAAGGCGUAGUCGAUGGGAAACAGGUUAAUAUUCCUGUACUUGGUGUUACUGCGAAGGGGGGACGGAGAAGGCUAUGUUGGCCGGGCGACGGUUGUCCCGGUUUAAGCGUGUAGGCUGGUUUUCCAGGCAAAUCCGGAAAAUCAAGGCUGAGGCGUGAUGACGAGGCACUACGGUGCUGAAGCAACAAAUGCCCUGCUUCCAGGAAAAGCCUCUAAGCAUCAGGUAACAUCAAAUCGUACCCCAAACCGACACAGGUGGUCAGGUAGAGAAUACCAAGGCGCUUGAGAGAACUCGGGUGAAGGAACUAGGCAAAAUGGUGCCGUAACUUCGGGAGAAGGCACGCUGAUAUGUAGGUGAAGCGACUUGCUC